UACGUAGGGUGCAAGCGUUGUCCGGAAUCAUUGGGCGUAAAGAGCGUGUAGGCGGCCACUUAAGUCCUGCGUGAAAUCUUGCGGCUCAACCGCAAGCGGUCGUGGGAAACUGGGUGGCUAGAGUGCGGGAGAGGAGAGUGGAAUUCCUGGUGUAGCGGUGGAAUGCGCAGAUAUCAGGAAGAACACCCGUGGCGAAGGCGGCUCUCUGGAACGCAACUGACGCUGAGACGCGAAAGCGUGGGGAGCAAACAGG
rnacentral:rRNA from 1 species